ACAGGCGCUGACGUACACACGCACUUGCCUACAGACAUGCAUAUACAUGCAUACACACUUAUAUACAUACAUAUAUGAAUACACACAUGAACAUAUGCGUGUAUGUGCAUACACAUACCUAUAUAUUUGCAUACAUUUAUCCAUACAUACCCAUACGCAUACAUACAUGCACACACAUACACAGACAGGUACACCCAUAUGCGCCCAUAUGCACACAUCUACAAACACACAUACACACACACACCCCAAAACACACACCACCCCCACGCCCCACAGGUGCUGUGGAGCUGGGCCGCCUCGCACCCAGCUGUGCCCCAUCCCCUGCCCCACAGCUCCAGGCCUGCCUGGCGCUGGGGCAGCCUUCGUCCAUCUGUCUGUCCCCAGCACUGGCUGCUCCCCCCUUUCCCACAGAAAUCAGGGCCUGCUGGGGGCAGGUAGCUGCUGGAGCAGCACCGCGGGAGGAUGUGGAGCCACGGGUGCGGGCAUGCAUAUUCUUCUAAAAUAUGCAUAUAAAGAGACAAGCAUACACAUACAUAUAUUUGUAUUCAUGCAUAGACAUAUAUACAUGUGCAGACAUAUCUACACAUAAAUAUAUAUGUGUAUACAUAUAUUUGUGUAUAUAUUUAUAACAUACACAGAUAUUUGAGAGCUGUUCCCAUCAUGUUUUGCAUGUAAGGAAAAAGAUGUAGUAGACCUGUGGCCCGUACAAAGUUCAUUUUCCAUACAGCGAACACCCCCAGGAGUUGGGGCUGCCCAGUAACUGGCAGUGGAGCGGUGGGAGCUUUCUUUUCCUCCCCCCCUUGGUAGUUCAUCAGCAUUUCCCAAAAGUUUUCUUUUCCCCAUGGGUGACCAACUUCCACCAUAACACUCGUGUGUUUCUUACUCAGCGCUUCCAGUCAGCGCCACUUCCACUUCCCCUGCCUCCUCGCAAUGCCUCCCUGCGAUGCUUCCCCCGUCCCGCUGCCUCCCCAGCCCCGUCUUCCCAGCUGCUCAUUGCCUCUAGCCACCAGUGCCCCCCCCAGCACCUCCUCCCACUUUGGCCCUUUUCCCCCCAACCCUUUCCCAGCGAUUCCCUCUUCCCUCCUGCACUGCCAGCCCCAGCUGCGCCGCUCCUUCCUAGCCCCUUUCAGAGGUUUUGUUUUCCUUUCCUCUGCUGCUCCUUUCAGAGGCGGCCUCUCCACACACCCUUUGCCCCAGGGCUACUCUCCCACCCUCCUACCCCACCAGCCUCGUGGGCUGCCAACCAUGAGUCUCCAAAUUUUCCAGCUUCUCCCUCACUGAUGUCUCCCAGUCCCCUCAGACCUUCUAAACCCAGCUGGGCUCCAUAUCUGGCCGAGAGCUCCAGGGCUUUCCAGGCUCUUGCAGGUGGCCAGGAGGAGGGGACAUGGGGGAGGGCAUGGGCAGGCACGUGCCAGCUCCAGCUCACCCACUUAUUGCAGGAUUGUCUCUGCUCUGCUGAGCAGUGGGGUUUUUGCCAGAACGGCAGUCUCAAAGCAAAUCUGUUUUUUCAACAUGUUCCUUAAAAAUAAACACAGGAUUGCACUUUUCAUUCCAUUUAUAUGUUGUUGUUCUUCUAACAGCAGGUUGGAAACAGAUUGCAAGUGAAGUGCUCAUAUACUUCAGUGCUGGGAAAUUACUGCACUCAACCACACCGUCGCCCACACCAUUACUGGGACCCCUCAGCUGUCCACAGUCGAUCGCUCAGUGUGAAUUGCAGGGCUCGGCAAUUGGGGGGUGACAUGCGUCCUUCUGCACCACGAGCACAUGGGAGACGGGCAGGGAGCAUGGGCCGCGCCGCAGGUGGCAGCAGACCUGCCUGUCCUCCUCUGAUGCGUUCUGAGCCAGCUCCUUGCAAGACAAGAUAUCACUGUGACACCAUGCCUUGGCCAAGCUCUGGUGACCUUGGACGCCAUGCAUCAAACACCAACCUACCCAGAUUUUUCUAAGGAGCUGAACAGCAGGAAUUAUCAAUGAUCAAUUGCUUGCCAGCUUUUUGCAGCAGAAACCAGUAUAGCAGAUGGCCACAAGACAGGUCUUCAUUCAUCACCUUUUCCUAGAGAAAUUUUCAUCCUUGUGAUAUGGACCUCCAAUGUUGACCUUUCUGUUUCAAGAAGUCACCAUGCCUGACGCCUGCACAGCUAAGUGAGAAUGUGCUCUCAGUGACAACCACCUUUCCAGUUGUGGUGUUAACCAACAUCACGCAAAUAUUAAAUGUGGACCGGACACUGUAGGCCCAAUACCUUCCCUGCUCUGAGACAGUGCAGGGAAGACAUCCAGCUGAGGCCUUUGUGCAAAGGGAAUUUACCUCCACAACAAUGAUAAUUGCUCUUCUAUGGACUUAUGUAACUAUGAGACUUUUGAAUCUGCUGUUGCUUACACCCAGUGCAAAUCAGGAAGAAAAAAAUUCAUCACAUGUGGCAGUGUGUACUUAAUCACUUAGAAUCCUGGACUAGCUAUUUCCUUGCUUUACUUUGUUUUCUUUUGUUAAAUAAACCUGCCAUAAGAAUGAAAUAAAGGAAAAUACAAAACA